UCGCCGAAAGAGGAGCCCGCGGCUGAUUAGCUAGUUGGUGAGGUAAAGGCUCACCAAGGCAAUGAUCGGUAGCCGGCCUGAGAGGGCACACGGCCACACUGGCACUGAAACACGGGCCAG
rnacentral:rRNA from 1 species